rnacentral:tmRNA from 1 species
GGGGGCGACUUGGUUUCGACGGGGUCGGUUCAGCGUGAUGGUUGCGAGCCGAGGUGCUGGUGGCCUCGUAAAACUCCAGCAAAACCAUAUGUGCGGACUCGCAUGAGUACGCCCUCCCGACUGCCGCACUGGCCUAGUUAGGGAAGGAAUCGACCCCAGGCCUGUCGGCUGCCCGGGUGUUCGGUUUCAGAUUCAGCCGACUUACCGAUCGUCUCGCCUCCAUGCGAUCGGGACACUUUAGGAGGCUGGCUCCCCAACACCCGGUCCGCGAGGCUACGGGGGAGCGAGAUCCAGAGCGCGGACUACGCUCGUAGACGCCAUCAUGGUGCGGCCUUGGACGCGGGUUCAAUUCCCGCCGCCUCCACCA